rnacentral:rRNA from 1 species
GAGAGUUUGAUCCCGGCUCAGAAUCAACGCUGGCGGCGCGCUUAACACAUGCAAGUCGAACGGGAGACCCCUUCGGGGGAAUCUAGUGGCGUACGGGUGAGUAACACGUGGGUUACCUGCCCUUGAGUGGGGAAUAACUCCGGGAAACUGGAGCUAAUACCGCAUAUCACCUCCGGGUGAAAGGCUUCGGCCGCUCAAGGAUGGGCCCGCGGUCGAUUAGCUUGUUGGUAGGGUAACGGCCUACCAAGGCAACGAUCGAUAGCCGGCCUGAGAGGGCACACGGCCACACUGGCACUGAGACACGGGCCAGACUCCUACGGGAGGCAGCAGUGGGGAAUCUUGGACAAUGGGGGAAACCCUGAUCCAGCGACGCCGCGUGACCGAUGAAGGCCCUCGGGUCGUAAAGGUCUUUCAGCGGGGACAAUUAUGAUGGUACCCGCAGAAGCAGGAGCGGCUAACUACGUGCCAGCAGCCGCGGUAAUACGUAGGCUCCAAGCGUUGUUCGGAAUUACUGGGCGUAAAGCGAGUGUAGGCGGUGCGUCAAGUCGGCUGUGAAAUCUCCUGGCUCAACUGGGAGGGUGCGGCCGAAACUGACGGACUCGAGUUCGGGAGAGGAGAGUGGAAUUCCUGGUGUAGCGGUGAAAUGCGUAGAUAUCAGGAGGAACACCGGUGGUGAAGACGGCUCUCUGGACCGAUACUGACGCUGAGACUCGAAAGCGUGGGUAGCAAACAGGAUUAGAUACCCUGGUAGUCCACGCCCUAAACGAUGCGUACUUGGUGUAGGCUCUUCACUGAGUCUGUGCCGGAGUUAACACGUUAAGUACGCCGCCUGGGGAGUACGGUCGCAAGGCUGAAACUCAAAGGAAUUGACGGGGGCCCGCACAAGCGGUGGAGCAUGUGGUUUAAUUCGACGCAACGCGAAGAACCUUACCU